ensembl:miRNA
GACAGCGUGGCGUUGUAGGGCUCCACCACGGUGUCAGACACCUUGGGCGAGGGCACCACGCUGAACGUGUUCAUGAUGCGGUCAGGGUACUCCUCCCGCACCUUGCUGAUG